rnacentral:rRNA from 1 species
AGUGAACGCUGGCGGUAGGCUUAAUACAUGCAAGUCGAAUGGCAGCACAGUAAGAGUUUGCUUUUACGGGUGGCGAGUGGCGGACGGGCGAGGAAUACAUCGGAAUCUACUUUUUCGUGGGGGAUAACGUAGGGAAACUUAUGCUAAUACAGCAUACGACCUACGGGUGAAAGAAGGGGUUCUUCGGACCUUGCGCGAUAGAAUGAGCCGAUGUCGGAUUAGCUAGUCGGCGGGGUAAAGGCCCACCAAGGCGACGAUCCGUAGCUGGUCUGAGAGGAUGAUCGGCCACACUGGAACAGAGGCACGGUCCAAACUCCUACAGGAGGCAGCAGUGGGGAAUAUAGGACAAUGGGCGCAAGCCUGAUCCAGCCAUACCGCGUGGGUGAAGAAGGCCUUCGGGUUGUAAAGCCCUUUUGUUGGGAAAGAAAAGCAGCAGAUUAAUACCCCGCUGUUCUGACGGUACCCAAAGAAUAAGCACCGGCUAACUUCGUG